CCCAUUCCAUGUACAACUGACUGAAUGGGGAAAAUACAGAUUGAUCUGGAGCAUAGCAGAGAGAGAUUCUUAUUUAAUCUUUCAAACAACAGAGUGAGGGAAAAGUUCAGUUAGAAGACAUACUUCACCAUCUUGAAAAAGAAGAAAUCAAUCCCCUUGCUACUACAGAAGAACAACUCUGUUUGGUGCUUAUUCCAGCCAGCACAGUGAAGACAGGCUGAGGACUGCUACCACAGAUGUAGAAGAGCUUAUAGUGAAGCACAUGGGUGAAACAAAAGAAGUGAGAACUAAUAGCAUAGAAUUUUAAAGACACCUGUGAUUUUGUUCAUUGCCCUUCAUUAAAUUGACAUAUUAAAAACUAA
rnacentral:lncRNA from 1 species